rnacentral:rRNA from 1 species
GAUGAACGCUGGCGGCGUGCCUAAUACAUGCAAGUCGAGCGAAUGGAUUAAGAGCUUGCUCUUAUGAAGUUAGCGGCGGACGGGUGAGUAACACGUGGGUAACCUGCCCAUAAGACUGGGAUAACUCCGGGAAACCGGGGCUAAUACCGGAUAACAUUUUGAACCGCAUGGUUCGAAAUUGAAAGGCGGCUUCGGCUGUCACUUAUGGAUGGACCCGCGUCGCAUUAGCUAGUUGGGGAGGUAACGGCUCACCAAGGCAACGAUGCGUAGCCGACCUGGGAGGGUGAUCGGCCACACUGGGACGGAGAAACGGCCCAGACUCCUACGGGAGGCAGCAGUAGGGAAUCUUCCGCAAUGGACGAAAGUCUGACGGAGCAACGCCGCGUGAGUGAUGAAGGCUUUCGGGUCGUAAAACUCUGUUGUUAGGGAAGAACAAGUGCUAGUUGAAUAAGCUGGCACCUUGACGGUACCUAACCAGAAAGCCACGGCUAACUACGUGCCAGCAGCCGCCGUAA